AGCGAACGCUGGCGGCAGGCUUAACACAUGCAAGUCGAGCGCCCCGCAAGGGGAGCGGCAGACGGGUGAGUAACACGGGGGAACGUGCCUUUUGGUUCGGAACAACCCAGGGAAACUUGGGCUAAUACCGGAUAAGCCCUUACGGGGAAAGAUUUAUCGACAAAAGAUCGGCCCGCGUCUGAUUAGCUAGUUGGUGGGGUAAUGGCCCACCAAGGCUACGUUCAGUAGCUGGUCUGAGAGGAUGAUCAGCCACAUUGGGACUGAGACACGGCCCAAACUCCUACGGGAGGCAGCAGUGGGGAAUAUUGGACAAUGGGGGCAACCCUGAUCCAGCCAUGCCGCGUGAGUGAUGAAGGCCUUAGGGUUGUAAAGCUCUUUUAGCAGGGAAGAUAAUGACGGUACCUGCAGAAAAAGCCCCGGCUAACUCUGUGCCAGCCGCCGCCGUAA
rnacentral:rRNA from 1 species